UACGAAGGGGGCUAGCGUUGUUCGGAAUUACUGGGCGUAAAGGGCGCGUAGGCUGCCCUGCAAGUCGGAGGUGAAAGUCCUGGGCUCAACCUGGGGAUUGCCUUCGAGACUGCGGGGCUGGAGACCGGGAGAGGGUAGCGGAAUUCCCAGUGUAGAGGUGAAAUUCGUAGAUAUUGGGAAGAACACCAGUGGCGAAGGCGGCUACCUGGACCGGUUCUGACGCUGAGGCGCGAAAGCGUGGGGAGCAAACAGG
rnacentral:rRNA from 1 species